rnacentral:rRNA from 1 species
ACUCCUACGGGAGGCAGCAGUGGGGAAUAUUGCACAAUGGGGGAAACCCUGAUGCAGCCAUGCCGCGUGUGUGAAGAAGGCCUUCGGGUUGUAAAGCACUUUCAGUAGGGAGGAAGGUAGUGUAGUUAACACCUGCAUUAUUUGACGUUACCUACAGAAGAAGCACCGGCUAAUUCCGUGCCAGCAGCCGCGGUAAUACGGAGGGUGCGAGCGUUAAUCGGAAUUACUGGGCGUAAAGCGCAUGCAGGCGGCCUGUUAAGUCAGAUGUGAAAGCCCGGGGCUUAACCUCGGAAUUGCAUUUGAAACUGGCAGGCUAGAGUCUUGUAGAGGGGGGUAGAAUUUCAGGUGUAGCGGUGAAAUGCGUAGAGAUCUGAAGGAAUACCAGUGGCGAAGGCGGCCCCCUGGACAAAGACUGACGCUCAGAUGCGAAAGCGUGGGGAGCAAAACAGGAUUAGAUACCCUGGUGGCAGAGAGC